rnacentral:rRNA from 1 species
AAUGAACGUUGGCGGCAUGGAUUAGGCAUGCAAGUCGAGCGAGAAGGGUUUUGAAGCUUGCUUUAGAACCCGGAAAGCGGCGCAAGGGAGAGUAACGAGUAGUUAUCUACCCCAAGGCCCGGAAUAGCUGCGGGAAACUGCAGGUAAUGCCGGAUAAUAUCCCCGGAUCAAAGGUGUGAUUCCGCCUUGGGAGGAGACUGCUUUGUACUAGCUUGUUGGUGGGGUAAUGGCCUACCAAGGCUACGAUGCAUAGCGGGCGUGAGAGCGUGGCCCGUCUCACUGGGACUGAAACACUGCCCAGACACCUACGGGAGGCUG